GCCGUCCAUUGUUUCUGAUUCUCUGCUCCUCGCCGGUUUGUGAUUUUGUGAUUUAAUCUCUGCUCCUCACCCUCGUUGUUUCUGAUUUUGUGAUUUUAUUUCCGAUUUUGUGAUUUAAUCUCUGCUUCCUUUAAUUCUCAAAGGUAGUAGUUGCUGCGUGUAUUGGCUUUGAUGUUUGUGCAAAGGAGUUGAAGAUUGACCAGCCUUGAAGUUUGGUAAAUGUGGUGAUUCAUAUCUUCAAAAUUUGCUUCAGCCAUAUCCAGUGAGGGAAAGGUUUUGUUGUUGUCAUGAUAGGUU